UAAUAGUUGUCGAAAAUAUCGUUUAUAAUUUCGAAUUAUAAGUUAGCAUGUGCUACUAUUUG
rnacentral:tRNA from 1 species